CCUACGGGUGGCUGCAGUGAGGAAUAUUGGACAAUGGACGAGAGUCUGAACCAGCCAAGUAGCGUGAAGGAUGACUGCCCUAUGGGUUGUAAACUUCUUUUAUAUGGGAAUAAAAUGUUCCACGUGUGGGAUUUUGUAUGUACCCUAUGAAUAAGGAUCGGCUAACUCCGUGCCAGCAGCCGCGGUAAUACGGAGGAUCCGAGCGUUAUCCGGAUUUAUUGGGUUUAAAGGGAGCGUAGGUGGAUUGUUAAGUCAGUUGUGAAAGUUUGCGGCUCAACCGUAAAAUUGCAGUUGAAACUGGCAGUCUUGAGUACAGGAGAGGUGGGCGGAAUUCGUGGUGUAGCGGUGAAAUGCUUAGAUAUCACGAAGAACUCCGAUUGCGAAGGCAGUUCACUGGACUGCAACUGACACUGAGGCUCGAAAGUGUGGGUAUCAAACAGGAUUAGAUACCCUAGUAGUC
rnacentral:rRNA from 1 species